ensembl:misc_RNA Metazoa_SRP Metazoan signal recognition particle RNA
GCUGGGCAUGGUGGCGCAUGCCUGUAGUCCCAGCUACUCAGGAGGCUGAGACGGGAGGAUCGCUUGACCCUGGGAAGGUUGCAAUGAGCCUAGAUGGUGCCACUGCACUCCAGCCUGGGCAACAGAGUGAGACCCUGUCUCCA